rnacentral:rRNA from 1 species
GACAGAGGUGCCAAGCGUUAGGCGGAAUCACUGGGCUUAAAGCGUGUGUAGGCGGAUCGUUAAGUACCUUGUGAAAUCCCACGGCUCAACCGUGGAACUGCUCGGUAUACUGGCGAUCUUGAGCCACCUAGGGGCAACUGGAACAAGCGGUGGAGCGGUGAAAUGCGUAGAUAUCGCUUGGAACGCCAACGGUGAAAACAGGUAGCUGGGAGUGUGCCGACGCUGAGACACGAAAGCCAGGGGAGCGAACGGG